rnacentral:rRNA from 1 species
CUACGGGUGGCACCAGUGGGGAAUAUUGCACAAUGGGCGCAAGCCUGAUGCAGCCAUGCCGCGUGUAUGAAGAAGGCCUUCGGGUUGUAAAGUACUUUCAGCGGGGAGGAAGGGAGUAAAGUUAAUACCUUUGCUCAUUGACGUUACCCGCAGAAGAAGCACCGGCUAACUCCGUGUCAGCAGCCGCGGUAAUACGGAGGGUGCAAGCGUUAAUCGGAAUUACUGGGCGUAAAGCGCACGCAGGCGGUUUGUUAAGUCAGAUGUGAAAUCCCCGGGCUCAACCUGGGAACUGCAUCUGAUACUGGCAAGCUUGAGUCUCGUAGAGGGGGGUAGAAUUCCAGGUGUAGCGGUGAUAUGCGUAGAGAUCUGGAGGAAUACCGGUGGCGAAGGCGGCCCCCUGGACGAAGACUGACGCUCAGGUGCGAAAGCGUGGGGAGCAAACAGGAUUAGAUACCCGAGUAGUC